AAAGUCCACUGCGAUGAAGGAGUAGCGAACCACAUCGGCCCCGAGCCGUGCGCAGGUCACCGCGAGGUG
rfam:Candidatus Burkholderia verschuerenii strain TZHbot4 BVERctg165, whole genome shotgun sequence.